UGAAAGGUAGCACCCGCGGAAAAGCCACAUUUAAAUAACAUUUGCAUAUAACGUACAGAUACUCCAUAGAAGCUCCAUGGUGAUAAGCGUAUUUUUUACCACUUUCGGCCACACCCCCUGGGAGACAUUUGAACCGAAUCCUAAGCCCCCAUUUGCAUAUUGCUAAUGAAUCAUUUAUUUUUUCUUUGCGUACUCGCAAGAUACUGUGAUGUGAUUGGAUCUUACCUUAUGAAUAAUGUAUUUUUCUAUUGAAAUUCGUACGUCAUAAUUUGACCCCCAUCGUCACUUCCGCUUAAUUAAAGGCUGAAAGAUGACGUCACCCGCACAGAAGAAGAUUAUGUCCUUGAAAGAUUUUCGCUUGUAUUGCUGACAUUUCUGUCAGUGUGUAUUGUUCUAUUCAACAGACAUAGAACAUGAUGCUGCUUCACAUCCUCUUUUAGAGACUCGAGGAUUACAAGACCGAAUUAAGCUGCAGGACCCUCCUGAUUCAAAAAGAUAUGGAACAUGACUCUGCUUCACAUCCUCUGUUUUAGAGACUCAAGAAAUACAAGACAAAAUUAAGGGUUUGCUUUUUAAUUCCAAUAAUAAUUUUCUGGAGGAAGAAUUAGGGAAUAAUGCAUUGACAAUAUGCCAAACAUCCUAUAUCAAACUGAAUUACUGCAUGUAUUUACAAUAGAGUAUUGUAACCACUCCCCCCCCCCCCACACUACUGACCAAACAAAACCCAUAAACGAUUUAAGAGGGAUAGGGUUAUUUUAGGGGUAAUUAUACUUGCUUAUUGUAGCAGUAGUUUUUACAAUUAUGGAUGUAGAUAAUGAUAAUGUUUAUAAUAAUAAUACUUAGAAUAAUAAAUUUAUUUCAAUGACAUAACAGGAAUGAUAAAUAAAAAUUAAGCAAUACAAUAUGUACAGGUAAUUGUGUAACAAUUUUGGCAAUGAAGAAUUUUUAACAAAAAUAAUGAUCAAUGAAUUCGGGGGGUGGGGGGGGGGGCAUGUGACAUUGCAUCUGUGUUGUGAGGACAGUAGUCUCUUUCACACCAUUUCAUCUUAAGCAGAUGGGAACGAGCUCUGAUCAAAAUUUGAUCUUUAAACUCAAGAGGAAAAUAAUUGUUACCUGAUUUAUGUAUUUGGAAUAAAAUGAAUUGAAAUAAUAA